UACGUAGGGUGCGAGCGUUGUCCGGAAUUACUGGGCGUAAAGGGCGCGUAGGCGGCCCGCUAAGUCGAACGUGAAAUCCCUGGGCUCAACCCAGGAACUGCGUCCGAUACUGGCAGGCUUGAAUCCGGGAGAGGGAUGCGGAAUUCCAGGUGUAGCGGUGAAAUGCGUAGAUAUCUGGAGGAACACCGGUGGCGAAGGCGGCAUCCUGGACCGGCAUUGACGCUGAGGCGCGAAAGCCAGGGGAGCAAACGGG
rnacentral:rRNA from 1 species